rnacentral:rRNA from 1 species
UACAGAGGGGGCAAGCGUUGUUCGGAAUUACUGGGCGUAAAGGGCGCGUAGGCGGCCUUCUAAGUCGAACGUGAAAUCCCCGGGCUCAACCCGGGAACUGCGUCCGAUACUGGGAGGCUUGAAUCCGGGAGAGGGAUGUGGAAUUCCAGGUGUAGCGGUGAAAUGCGUAGAUAUCUGGAGGAACACCGGUGGCGAAGGUGGCAUCCUGGACCGGUAUUGACGCUGAGGCGCGAAAGCCAGGGGAGCAAACGGG